rnacentral:pre_miRNA from 1 species
UGGUCGGGUCUUAUGGGUUUAGGAUUGUGGCCUUUCAACGUUUUUGUUUUUUCAUUAAUAAACAUUGUCUGCGCCACAAUUCUAACCUCAUUGGGCCCCGUUU